UGUACAGUUGCAUUGUGGGAUAUUUACCGGCUGGAGGCGAAUGUUCGCGGGCUAGAGAGCGGGACCAAGGAGGAUUUUCACCGGGUAAUCUUAUGUUGUGAUGUGCUACAGAGGUGUGCUACAGCUGCAGGUCUUAAAGGGACACACAACCUGCCGCCAAGUCCACAACUCAUUGCCCUCAGAGACAACAUUACCCUUCAUCAUGGAUGAUCAGCAUCGAGGGUGAAAUUGUUUGAGGGCGUUCAACCUACGUUCCAGGCUGGUCUCGCAGCACUUUUUGCCACCUUCUACGUUUUAA